GGCAUGGUAGCUCAGUUGGUAGAGUGUCGGAUGCAAUAUUCGAAGGUCGCAGGUUCAGUCCCUGCCCACGCCA